rnacentral:rRNA from 1 species
AAAUUGGUGAUUUAUAAUAACUUAGCAAAUCGCAAAGUGAAAACAGGCGAUAAAUCAUUCAAGUUUCUGACCUAUCAGCUUUCGACGGUAUGGUAUUGGCUUACCGUGGCAGUGACGGUUAACGGGGGAUUAGGGUUCGAUUCCGGAGAGGGAGCCUGAGAAACGGCUACCACAUCUAAGGAAGGCAGCAGGCGCGCAAAUUACCCAAUUCUAACAGUUUGAGAGAGGUAGUAACAAGAAAUAACAAUACAAGGCAGUUAAAAUGCUUUGUAAUUGGAAUGAUAGAAAUUUAAACCCUUUUUAAAGUAUCAAUUGGAGGGCAAGUCUGGUGCCAGCAGCCGCGGUAAUUCCAGCUCCAAUAGCGUAUAUUAAAAUUGUUGCAGUUAAAAAGCUCGUAGUUGAAGUUCUGCUGAAAGUAACCGGUCUGCUUUUAAUAAAAGUGGUAUCUUGGUAUGUAUUUAGCAAUGAUGUCCUUUGAAGUGUUUUUUACUUUAUUGUAAUAAAGCAUAUUCAGGACUUUUACUUUGAGAAAAUUAGAGUGUUUCUAGCAGGCUGACGCUUU